CAGCCGCCGCGGGAAUACGAAGGGGGCUGGCGUUGCUCGGAAUUACUGGGCGUAAAGGGAGCGUAGGCGGAUCGUUUAGUCAGGGGUGAAAUCCCGGGGCUCAACCUCGGAACUGCCUUUGAUACUGGCGAUCUUGAGUAUGGGAGAGGUGUGUGGAACUCCGAGUGUAGAGGUGAAAUUCGUAGAUAUUCGGAAGAACACCAGUGGCGAAGGCGACACACUGGCCCAUUACUGACGCUGAGGCUCGAAAGCGUGGGGAGCAAACAGGAUUAGAGACCCGAGUAGCCCUGUCUCUUAUACA
rnacentral:rRNA from 1 species